UGUUGUUAACCGUGGCAUUAAAUGUCAGUUACCGAAGCUGCAGUUUCGGCAUCCUUCAGGCCGUCUGGCGCAUCAGGUGAGACCUCAAAAGUGUGCACUCCCCACGUUGUUUCUGAUACCGCUUGUUGCCUGCAGGGUUUCUCUGUUCUCCCAGCAGACACUGUGCCCUGUGGAACUGGAUGCCUAAGAUUGAGAUAUGAGGACUUGAUGCCUGGAGCUGCGGCAGCCAUCCUGAUCCUAUGAGGUACACAUCUUCUGAGUAAACCAAUAUGCCCAUGAUGGAAAACGGGAGUACAAAAAAAAAAAAAAAAAAAAGCCUUGGAACCGGGUGCCUGGCUGGCUACGUCGGAAAAGAACACAACUCUUGACGUCAGGGUCGUGAGUUUAAGCCCCAUGUUGGGUGUCGAGAUUACUAGAUAAAUAAAUAAACUUAAAAACAGCAACAGAAGGAAAGAGUCUUGGACCUUGCUGACAUCUCCAGCAUUCUGAACCAAUCCUGAGUUCACCUCUAGACCCCUUAGUGAAAAAUUACCAAGUAUCCCUAUGGCUAGAGGACCUGUUUGCUGAAUGCUGGGUUGGUUACUUGUAGCUAAAUACAUUUAGCCUCUUAUUCAUGGAUAUCUGCACUGAUUAUCCUGUGGUGCCUACCACCAGCAUGGGCUUCCCUUAAUCAAUAUAAAUUCCAAUUCUCCUAGAAACUGCUCAAGAUUUAUCUCUAAGAAGCAGAAUCUAGGGAAAAAUUCUCUGGAUUAGAAAUUGGGGUGGGGGGCGGGGACUCUGAUAAAACAAAAAUGAUUAUAUUUAUUUUACAUAUCUAUAUUUUAAAUACAUAAAUACAAGAUAAUAAAUAUAAAUGAUAAAUAUAAAAAUUAAAAUAUAAGGGCACCUGGGUGGCUCAGCCGGUUGAGCGUCCAACUUUGGCUCAGGUCAUGAUCUCGUGUGCAUGGGUUCAAGACCCAGCUGUGGCUGCUUUCCUUUCCGAUGAAAGGAGGUGAGCGGCCUCGUGGCCUCCCCUGCGCCCAGCUGCCUGGCAGGAAAAACACAAAGCAAGCCAGCGGCGUGAACGCGCUCCGCAGGCGGGCUCUCCAAGUCUGUUUGGAGAGGUUCACAGUUUUAUUUUAGUGGCGGUUGCAACAAACCCCUGCAUUCACGUCCAGAUUAAACUGACAGAGUGGAAACUGCCAAAGCCAGCAGUUGCUGGGCCGCCAACGAAGGACGGCUCCCGGUGAGUUUCAGAUUCUUAAAGGUUUGUACUUCAGCGGAUUCGCGGCGCGAAGAGUUGGGGGAGAAACGUGUUCGAGAAGAUCCUAAGCGAGAAGGGCUGAGGGGAGGCGCCUCCUGCCGUUUAUCGGAUGGGUUGUGGGGCUUCACAGAAGUGCGGGAUAUUCGCCGCGCUGCUGGGGUGUGACUGGCGAAAUGAAAAGGCACGUCAAGGGAGUGCUCCAAGAACGUGGCUCUUAUUUCCUCCGUCUUUCCGCAGUGCCGGGGGCAUCCUGCCCGGGCAGGGCCGCGCAAACUCAUAACACCCUCGUUUAAUAGGAGAAGCAAAAGCAAUGUUAUGAGUUGGAGACACUUGGGCCCCAGAACAAUAAGCGUAUUGAUUGGCUCAGUUGUGUUUAACUCCGACGGCAAGACGCCCCACCGGUGCAAAGCCACCACGACUGCCAACGGCAGAGGGGACCCCGGGGGGGCCACAUCACAGCACGGCCCGUAAACCAGCUGUCCCGAAUGCCUGAAUCUGGCUAUUCCGAUCAUCCUAGAUUUGUGCGUGCGUGUUGCUGGAUCGGCACAGGCAGAUAGCUCACGGGUCCCGUGGGACACGUCCAAAGCCCGUGGGUCAGAAUUGCACGGAAGCUGGGAGGCCUGAACCCACGUGUGUGCCCGGGGGCCGCUGCGAGGCCGUUUGCUGAACAUGAAGAGCACAACCGAUGCUGUUUCUCUCCGCAUCCGCAACAGCGCAGAGAGGAGGCAUCCCAGUGGAGCCGUCUCACAUCCGUAUAAGCACACUCAUUCGGUGACGAAGGACCCAACUGGCCAUCGGGUUGCGAUUCACUCAGGAUAUUGCCCCAGAGAGAGAGGCUGCUGCUGGGGAGAUCCGGGACUACUCACGAGUGUAUGCAGACAGGUGAAAGAAAGUGGGUUUUCCCGGGGAGCAUAACACAUGUCCUCACGGUCCCGCACUGUUCACACUAAAGGUGAGCCUCUCCAGCUUUCCUCUCUCUGCCUGCCGGCCCCACUGUAGGCGAACAUUUUCUUUCUGUGGGUAUUUACCAAGCGAGUCCGCCCAGAGGCCACAGGGCUUCGUGCUGGACUUUCAAGCCGGAGGACGUAUGCGUCCUCCUCGCGGAGGGAGCUGGAGGAAUCCGAAUGCUGUCUCCAAUAUCAAAGCCCCGAACCCCCGCCUUCUCCUGCCUGUGAUCAGAGCCACACAGUGGCCCCAGGACUCCAUGCUCCUUAACUCUUCCUCCCAUUUGGACCUCCCGUCAGUCCCCAGUGGAGAUUGGGGACAGGAGGGCCCGUGUCUCUGCCCUGGAGGGACAGCCUCAUGCCGACCAAAUGAGAAGUGUAGGAAAGUCAUCAUGGAAGCCUCCCCGGAGGUGGCGGUCCGUGUUGGCUCUGAUUAUUUCCCCCACAACCCGCCCCCCAACUGAAAGGUAACGAUCAUCACGCUGACGUUCUUUAGUGAGCAGUUACCACGUGUCCCCAACUCCUUCCAGAGCUUUAUACCUCUCGUUCCUGUUGGCUCCCCCGCAGCCCUGAGGCGCGGGUCCUAUUCCUGUCGCCUGUCCCACUGUGGAGGGCAAGAAGGAAAUGACUUUCCGAGCCACUGUGGCGAUGGGAGCCCUGUCUACAUGAGGCCGGGCACACAGUCGCAUGCACUCUCUACAGUAUGACCCGGGGACCGCCAGCCAUCGGCCACGGUGCUGGGAGAACCAGACACCAGGGCCAGACCAGCUGGGGCAACACCCAGAUGACCUUGGACAAGCUUCUUAACUCUCUGCCUGUGGGUUUAUUCACCUGGACGUGAAAAAUCACUGAGAUAAGCUGUGAGGACGCAUCCUGGUGUAGAAUAAGUACUAUACAGAUGUUCACGGGUAUUAUUGCUGUUUUCAUGAUCAUCUUUAGUAUUUUUUUCGUGAUCAUAUUUAUUGGUUGCCCUUUCUGUGCUUCUACCCGCCAGGUGUUCAAAGAUCACCUUCUUAGGGAAGCAUUUCCUAAGCUACGUCAUUUCAAAUGUCAGUCUGCACCUGCAAAAAUCCCAGCCCCCCUCCCGGCUGUAUUUGUCUGUAUUUGUCCAUCUGACGUACAGUCUGUUUUGCUGCUUUACUGGUGUUUCUGUCUUCUCUCAAAUGGAGGCUCGGUGGAGACAGGACUGUUUGUGUCCGCUGCUCCCCGCUACGUCCGCGUGCCCAGACCUGUGCCUCGCAGUAAACAGUCGGUGCACAGAUUCAGUAAAACACUGGAAGCUUGGUCAGUGUCGCCCCUGCCGCCUUCCAGAGAGCUUUGCUCGAGACAUACUUCUUCAGCAAGAUGGACUUUGGGGGAGCCACUUGGUCCC